UGUAUGGUUUAUAGGGUUUGGUUCACGAACUCGGUUCAUGGUUAUGAUUCAUAGUUUAUGAACUUGGUUUAUGGUUUAUGGUUUAUGGUUUAUGGUUUAUGGUUCAUGAAUUUAGGUUUUGGCUCAUGAGAUGGGGUAUAUGGGAUUUAGUUCAUGAACUUGGAUAUGGUUCAUGAAUUAGGUAUGUGAACUUGGUUUAUGGUUCAUGAACUUGAUUCAUUUGGUUCAUAAACGUAGUUUAUGAUUAAUGGACUUGGUUCAUGAACUUAGAUAUGAAUCCAAGUUGGAAGUCGUGUUUGGGUUCUAUUUGUGGUCUGGAUUGGAUUUGAGUUUGGAAUUUUAUUUGUGGACUGUAUUUGGUUUUGGGUUUGGAUUUGAUUUGGUUUGGAUUUUAUUUGGGUUUUGGUUUCGUUGGGUUUGGUUGUGAUUUGGUUUGGUUUGGGUUCUUAUGUGAACUUGAUUUGGUUUGGGUUCUUAUGUGAACUUGAUUCGGUUUGGGUUUGGAUUUGAUUUGGAUUGGGUUCGGUUUGGGUUUGUAGGUGGACUUGGUUUGGUUUGGGUUCUUAUGUGAACUUGAUUUGGUUUAGUUUGGAUGUGGAUUUGAUUUCGGUUUGGGUUUGGAUUUAAUUUGGGUUGGGUUCGGUUUGGGUUUGUAUGUUGACUUGGUUUGAUUUCGGUUCUUAUGUGAACUUGGUUUGAUUUUCAAUUCUAUUUCGGGUUCAAGGCAAUCCUCUUUUGAUUUUUGCAACUUGAUUCGGAUCUAAAGAAAUCCCUUUUUGAUUUUGGUUUGAUUUGGGGUCCGAAGAAAUCCUCUUUUGAUCUCG
rnacentral:lncRNA from 1 species